CUGUGCAUCAUAAUCCUUUAGGGAAACUUUUGACAAUUUCAGUUACAGCAGAUCACUUCAUUAUAUUAUACAUAGUUUUUCUGUUGAACAUUAAUUCCUUUAAACCCUAAUGCAAGAAUAUGUUCUUCAGCGAAAUCCGACUUUGCUUUGAAGUAAACUUUCCUUGAAAGCAAAAACUUAAGUUCCUUAACCCUAAUACAACUCUUUAGCUUAUUACUUGAUACUCAAGUUCUCUCUAACUCUUUAGCACUAGUACUUUACUACUUUCCAAAUCAAUAAAACACUAAAAUUAUUCAUUUCAGUUUCUAUUGAUUAAAUCUUGAUCAAAGUUCCUUCUUUUUAAUCAUUUAUUAACAGAAACACAAAUAUACGUAGCGUGAAUUUUGACAUCCACAGCUAUCUCAUAGGAGGGUUGAAAAACUCUGGUGUUAUUAUGCAAAAUUGAAAACACAGGGUGAAAAAACGGAAUCUUAGAAAUUUUAGGGAGUGAUUUUAAAAAAUGGUAAACAAUAAUUGGAGGAUGAAUAACAAACCGGAAAUCACACUAAACCCGGUAUUAGACUAAGAGUCAUAGUAUUAAUUAAACCAAAAUAAACCGGAAAUCACACUAAACUCGGUAUUAGCCAAAAGCUGAUUUUGCCCAUGUGAUUCGAAAUCUGUAACUAGUAAUUUGAAUUUUUGUUUUUAACGGACAUAAUGUUCAGAUUAGGGGGGAAAAAUCUAAUUUCAAUUCAAAUCCAAAUGAUCUAACGGAAUAAGCCAGGGCAUUUUCGUAAUUUCGUAUUAAUUGGCCUAACCAACCACUACAAAUAGAAAAUUUUCCUCUCUUUCAUUUCAUCACCGACUCGAAAACAGCUUCUUCUCUACGAUUUCAAAUUACUUUCGCGAUCAAAGUUAUCUGAUCGGAAUCAAUCUGUUUCGGCUCCAGCCGGUGAUGAAUCUGAUGGAUGCGAUCGCAUUUUGGGGGAAAAUCCUUGUCGCCGCCGCCAAGAGAAGCGUGUGAUUGAAUCAGAAAACCCUCCGAUUACGCAAAAGAAUCAGCCGGUGAUGAAUCUGAUGGAUGCGAUCGCAUUUUGGGGGAAAUUUCUUGUCGCCGCCGUCAAGAGAAGCGUGUGAUUGAAUCAGAAAACCCUCCGAUUACGCAAAAGUAUCAGAGAACAAAAGGGAGACCAUUUGCUAGCCAACACGUUUACUUCCAACAAUGUAUAUUACUUGUUUACAAAUCUGAGCAGAGGAGAGCAACCAAAUGUCAACAGGGAGGAUUCUGAGCUUUCUUCAGUCAAAAUGUAACUUUUGACGAAGGGUUUCAAGAUGAAGGAAAAUCAUUCAGUAGCCAACAAAGGUAUGGUUAAGUAGCUCCCUCUGUCUCCCACUUAUCAUGUCUCUUGCACUGUCUAAAAACAGAGCAUAAAUCCACGAAAACCAACACUCAAACGCACACAAAAAAAUCAAACACACAAACUAGUUUAAAGUCACGAAAUCACAAAACGAAAUUCAAACACACCAACAAAAAACAUAGCACACAACGUUCAAACGCAUCAAGAAACAGAAAACAGAACAUAAAUCCACGAAAACCCACACGAAAAGAAAAUCAAACACACAAAACUAAUUUAAGUCACGAAAUUCAAACACACAAACAAAAAACAUAGCACACAAUCAAGAAACAAAAAACAAACUUUCACAGGAAAGUUUUAACCAAAAUUGUGAAUAAUCACAUUUGAUGGCAAGAACUUGCUUUGUGACUGUUCUUCAAACGAAAUGAAAAUGUGCUAUAUAGUUGAAAAUGCUUUCGUAUACACGAGGAUGGUUUGCAGUUUAAAUCAGGUUUUCAUAAGAAAGAGCAAAAGUUUCAGAUGCGUUUCAAUAUACUCAUGAAUGACAAGGUAAUCUUGUUAAACCUUUUUCAUCGUUUUAAACUCUUUUCUAUUAGAACCAAUGUGACUUUAUGUAAAACCACUUUAAUACAUACUUGAAGUAUCAGGGGUUUUAGUUAUAAUCUUCCAUUUAUUCAGAGGAUAGCUCCGACCUGGUAUCAAAAUUAGAGAAGGAAUAACUUUGUGUGAGCCUGCUGAUGUAUCUAUUAAAGAGUUGAUAAAGAGACCUGAAGAAGUUCACGCCAUAAAAAGCAUAAAUUCAACGUAUAAAGUGAAUAAGAUGGCACUCUGCUGGAACUUUCGAUUGUCAGUCAAGGACUGGAGGUCCAUUCGGAACAAUGAGGUUUGAUGCUGAGCAAGCUCAUGGAGCCAACAGUGGUAUCCACAUUGCUCUUAGCUUGCUGGUGUUGUCGCUGCUGAAGACUGGUGGCCCUGAAAUUCCUUUCUACCCUUGAAGAGAGGACAAGCCCCAGCCACCUCCAGAGGGUCGUCUUCCUGAUGCUACAAAGGGUUUUGAUCACUUGAGAGAUGUCUUUGCUAAGCAGAUGGGCUUCUCUGAAAAGGACAUUGUCGCCUUAUCCGGUGCCCACACUCCUAUAUCUCCAUUUCAGAGCUAAAAACACUUGUGAAAAAGGGUCUUUACUAAUAAAGGUCAUUGCUUACAAGUGAAGAGAUCCUUAAGUUGCAAAGAACGAAAGGGAGACUAUUCGCUAGCCAAGACAUACAAAUGUUAAGGUCAAGUCUCUUCCUCUCUCUCCUUUACCGCAAUUAGACACGUAGGAUAGAGAGGCUUGCACUAUCCCAAAAAUGUUUACUUCUGUACCAUUCUAUAUCUCUUACAAAACGUUUGUCUGUUUUUUUUUGUAUCUUUGAAUAAGAACUAGAUAAGGUGAACUAGAGAAGAUGAAGCCGACUUGCAAUUUCCAGCAGCUUCCAACAAUGUAUAUUACCGUUAAGAUAAUAUGAGCUGAGGAAGCAACCAAAUGUCGACAGGGAGGAUUCUGUAAGUUUGUCAUUUUUUGGUUUUAAUGAUCUUUUGAAUUCAAAUAUUCGUUCUAUGUUUAAACUGCUUGUUAUUAUUAACAAAUGUUCUUUGGUUUCUUAAGUUGGAAUGGAACUUUUGACAAAGGUUUCAAGAUGAAAGAUUGUUUGGCUGCAAAGAAGCUUUGAAGACCAUUUAGUAGCCAAAAAAGGUAUGGUUAAGUCUCUCACUUAUCAUGUCUUUUGCACUGUCUCGAAAACAGAGCAUAAGUUCAUGAAAACACACUCAAACGCACACAAAAUAAAAUAAAAUCAAACACAAAAAUAUUAAUUAAAAGUCACCAAAAAAAAAACAAAAAACAUAGCACAAAACGUCCAAAUGCAACACCAAGAAACAUAAAACAGAACAUAAAUCCACGAAAACUGACACUCGAACGUACAAAAAAAAAAUCAAACACACAAUAAUUAAUUAAAAGUAACACAAACAAAAACAUAGCACACAACAUCCAAACGCAACUUCAAAAAUAGAAAUCAAGCUUUCACAGAAAUGUUUUAACAAAAUGUGUGAAUAAUCACAUUUGAUGUCAUAAACAUGCUUUGUUCCCUUGUUUCUUACUUUCUUAUCUACUUGGUUUAGUAUAGCUUAUAUUAACUUAUUUUCUUCUUGAAGCGAAAUGCAAACAUGCUAUAUAGUUGAAAAUGCUUUCGUGUAAAUGAGGAUGGUUUGCAGUUAAUACCAGGUUUCCAUAAGAAAGAGCAAAAGUUUCAGAUGCGUUGCAGGUAAUCAUGAAUGAUAAGCUCCGACCGGGUAUCAAAAUUAGAGAAGGAAUUACUUUGUGUGAGCCUGCUGAUGUAUCAUUAAGGAGUUGAUAAAGAGACUUGAAGAAGGCACACCGAUCAAGAGUGGGUGACAAGAGGGAUGUUUUUGUAAAGGUGAGACAACUGAAUAUUCUUAGCUUGCUUUCAAUUAGUUUCUGAAAGUGCUUUAGGUUCAAAGACCUGGAAUUGAGAACUCAAUGAUGCAGAAAAAGAGAAGCAUUUAUUUAUCAUUUCUAUCUGUUCACGCCAUAGAAAGCAAUCAACGUAUAAAGUGAAUAAGGUUUGGACUGGUGAUCCUUGCUCUCCAAGACUAUUUCCUUGGGAAGGUACUUCUAAUUACCAAAUCAAGUCCAUGUAAGUCAUUCAUUUCAACCAGACAAUAACUCAUUUUUGUAAUCUCCCUCAAGGAUAAUUCUGCUGAUGAGCUUGUUUUCGUUUUUCUUGAUGCGAGAAUGAAUUUUAGUUCAAGUGGGUUACAAGGACCAAUAACCUUCUCCUCUAGAUAUCUCUCCCUCCUUGAGUCAUUGGAUAUCAAACAACAACCUGAGAGGGGAUUUUUUGGAUUAUCUAAAAUAUCUGAAGUUCUGUAAGGUUGAGCACAUAAAGAGGCUUUUCGUUUGACAGACAUUUGAUAAUGUAUUUGUCACAUAAAUUUGAAAGGAGAUAACUUGGCUGGGUUUGUCCCAAGAUCUCUUAGGAAAAAAUGGCUGGUGGACUUGCACUGAGAGGUACAUUUUCUUGUCAAAACCCGGAACCAUAGUCAUCUUGUCAAUUUCCUCUCUGUAAAUAUUUUUUGUCACUUUCUAUGUCUAAGCUGCUUGUUAUUAACAAGGUUCUUUGGUUUCAAGAGCUUUUUUAAAGUAGAAAUGGAACUUUUGACAAGGGGUUUCAAGAUGAAGGAUUGUUUAGCUGCAAAGAAGCUUUGAAGACAGUUCAGUAGCCAACAAAGGUAUGGUUAAGUAGCUCUCUCUCUCUCCCACUUAUCAUGUCUGGCACUGUCUCAAAAAUAGAGCAUAAAUCCACGAAAACCCACACUUUAACGCACAAAAAAAUAAAUCAAACACACAAAAAACAAAACGAAAUUCACACAAACAAAAAACAUAGCACACAACGUCCAAAUGCAACUUAAAGAAACAAAAAACAAAACAUAAAUCCACGAAAACCCACACUCGAACAUACACAAAAAAAAAUCACACACACAAAACGAAAUUGAAACGCACAAACAAAAAAUAUAGCACACAACGUCCAAACGCAACUUGAAGAAACAGAAAACAAAAUUUCACAGGAAGUUUUUAACAAAAAUUGUGAAUAAUCACAUUUGAUGGCAAGAAAUUGCGUUGUGACUGUUCCCAUAUCUCUUACUUUCUUUCUACUUGCUUUAGUAUAGCAUGUAUUAACUUAUAUAUUUGAAAAUGCUUUCGUGUACACGAGCAUUGUUUGCAGUUUAAACCAGGUUUUCAUAAGAAAGAGCAAAAGUUUCAGAUACGUUUCAAUAUACUCAUGAAUGACACGAGGUUUCAGCUAUGAUCUUCCAUUUAUUCAGAGGAUAGCUCCGACAGGGUAUCCAAAUUCUGCCUCAAAAUUAGAGAAUGGUAGUGCUUAAUAGUAUAGUAUUGUGUUUUCUUUUUCUCAUAAUUAAGUUGACAUUGUUCUUUUGUUCAUUAUUUAUGUCUAAUGUCCUUUUAAUUGGCUUAAUUGAU